rnacentral:rRNA from 1 species
GACGAACGCUGGCGGCGUGCUUAACACAUGCAAGUCGAACGAACAGGCCCUGCUUUUGUGGGGUGCUCGUGUGGCGCACGCGUGAGUAACACGUGAGUAAACUGUCCUUGAAUUUCGGAUAACUUUAGGGAAAUGCGGCUCAUACCGGAUAGGAGCUCUUGCUCCGUGUUGUUGGUUGGUAAGUUUUGGCUGUUCGGUCUGGACUCGCGGCGUAUCCGCUUGUUGGUGUGGUAGUUGCUUACCAAGGCUGCGACGGGUAGCCCACAUGAGAGGCUGGUCGGCCACACUGGAACUGAGACACGGACCAGAGUCCUACGGGAGGCAGCAGUAGGGAAUCUGCCGCAAUGGGCGGAAGCCUGACGGAGCAACGCCGCGUGAGUGAUGAAGGUCGUCGGAUCGUAAAACUCUGUUAUUAGGGAAGAACAAAUGUGUAAGUAACUAUGCACGUCUUGACGGGACCUAAUCAAAAAGCCACGGCUAACUACGUG